rnacentral:rRNA from 1 species
UACGUAGGGGGCAAGCGUUGUCCGGAUUUAUUGGGCGUAAAGAGCGUGUAGGCGGCUUUACAGGUCCGUUGUGAAAACUCGAGGCUCAACCUCGAGACGCCGGUGGAAACCGUAAGGCUAGAGUCCGGAAGAGGAGAGUGGGAUUCCUGGUGUAGCGGUGAAAUGCGCAGAUAUCAGGAGGAACACCCGUGGCGAAAGCGGCUCUCUGGGACGGUACUGACGCUGAGACGCGAAAGCGUGGGGAGCAAACAGG